rnacentral:rRNA from 1 species
UACGUAGGUGGCGAGCGUUGUCCGGAUUUAUUGGGCGUAAAGAGCGUGUAGGCGGCUUGACAAGUCUGCUGUGAAAACUCGAGGCUCAACCUCGAGAUGUCGGCGGAAACUGUCUGGCUAGAGUCCGGAAGAGGAGAGUGGAAUUCCUGGUGUAGCGGUGGAAUGCGCAGAUAUCAGGAGGAACACCGAUGGCGAAGGCAGUUCUCUGGGCCGUAACUGACGCUGAGGAGCGAAAGCGUGGGGAGCGAACAGG